AAUUCAGUUCCUCAGUCGCACUAGCUGAAUUUCAAGGGUUUGAUAGCCACGUGUGGCUGCUGCCUGAUGCACUGGAGCAUGCAGAUAUAGAACAUUCCCAUCAUCAUAGAAGAUUCCGUGGGACAGGAUUGCUGAACUGAAAUACUGCUCUUUGUGAAGUGGAGGCAAGUUCACUGGUUUUUGAGGUUUUUGGCUACCGAAGGACAGUUGUGGAGGGACAGGAAUGGGGAAGCUGAUGAAUACAAAACAUCAGCUAAAAUGGGAAGGAGUGAGUGUGUGACAGAGGCGUGAACUGGAGGGGCUGCCAGGAAUGACAGGCGUCAAGCAGGGCUGCGUGUGAUAAAAUGGGAACCCAUUGCUAUACAUGCGCCAUACCCUGUCCUCAUGACAUCACAGAGGGACUUCACCCAAAGAAACAUUUCCAGCCCCUCUUUGCCCUGCCCCUCUUUUCCCCAGUCCCCCUUCCUUCCUGGCUGCCAAAAAGAGAUGGCAGAAAAAUACAUUUGAUUGGGAGAGUGGCUAAAAGCUGACAUCUGUUUAUACUUCAGUCCAGGCUGUCGAUCUGGGUGACAUUUACUGUAUUGGGCCCCUCUCUGUUCCUCUUUCUCUCUCUCUUUCCCUCUGUCUUCUUAUUGCCUCUUACACAUAAAGUAGGGAUUCUCUCUCCCCAGCGCAAGUGAGUAUACAUAUCUGCUUUGUAGGCUUUCCUAAGUCCUUGGAAAGACAGAAGAUCUUAGAUCACCUGAUUAUGCCUACAGAUCCCAGCUAUGUCUUCUGGUCUUGUUUCAGCAGAGUUAUUGUUGAUCUAAUCUCCACCUUUCUGGACAUUGAGGAGGAAAUUCAGGCACAGGUGUCCCAGGUCACAGAGGAAGAGGGGAGCCCGGGUUCAAAGUUGAGGGGAGUGACUCCAGUGCCCUCACUUCUAACUGCUGCAAAGGGAGCUCCAAAGGAUUUUACAGUCCAGGUAACAGUUCUAGAAGCUUCCUGUUGUCAGCUCUGUUGAGUAUUUAUCAGCAGGAGAUGCUGAAGACAGUGAGCAAUUAGGAGGUCAUUGCAUUGGUUCAGAGGGGAAAAAAAGUUGAUAAGGUGAUGUUUAUGGCAUAGAAUUCACUGGAUCAGAUGAGAAGAUGAGCUGCAUGUAGGGGUGAAGGAGAAGUAAGAAGGGAAGGUUGAAGCUCCAGCCUGGGCAGCUGGGUAGGCACCAGCCCCCUUAUCUUGGGAGUAGAUAUGCUCGGGAAGGAGCUGGGCUCAGUGGGAGGCUGGGAGUUGGCAGGCCCUGCCCGAGGAGGCGAAGCUGGCUGCAAGCAGCACCCAGGCUCACACUGAAACCCCCUUCCUGGUGCUGCUGCAUCACAGCACAGAAUUUAGCCCUGUGUUAGAAGUUCUAUUGGGACUGAAACCCCAUUCUCUGUUCUCUCUCUCUUUGUGGGUCUAGAAAUACCAGGCACUGAAAUACUCUGCAACUCCCCUUGCAGGUGCAGACCUACAUUCGGUAACAGCCCUUUCCCCUCC
rnacentral:lncRNA from 1 species